GAUGAAGAACGUAGCGAAAUGCGAUACUUGGUGUGAAUUGCAGAAUCCCGUGAACCAUCGAGUCUUUGAACGCAAGUUGCGCCUCAAGCCAUUAGGUUGAGGGCACGUCUGCCUGGGCGUCACAUAUCGUUGCCUGAUGCCAGUUUCCUCGUGAUGGGUGACUGUGCAGGGCGAAUGAUGGCUUCCCGUGAGCAUUGUUGCCUCAUGGUUGGUUGAAAAUUGAGUCCUUGGUAGGGAGCGCCGUGAUAGAUGGUGGUUGAGUGACGAACGAGACCCAAUCAUGUGAGACCCCUACCGAAUUUGGCCUUCAUGACCCACAUGCGUCUUUGGAACGCUCAUGACGAGACCUCAGGUCAGGCGGGGCUACCCGCUGAGUUUAAGCAUAUCAAUAAGCCGGAGGA
rnacentral:misc_RNA from 1 species